GGCUGGUCCAAGUGCAGUGUUAUUUACAAGUAAUUGAUUAAAACCAGUUACAGGUUUCUUCAUUUCUUCUGUACUCCCACUCUUUCACUUUGACUAGUCUUAA
ensembl:misc_RNA Y_RNA Y RNA